UCUCAGUAGACAGACAGUGACACACCGGGCAAGUGAGGUUAAGCAGCAGGCCCAAGACCACAGAGUUAGCAAGAGACGGAGCCCAGAUUCAAAGUGAGUUCUGCUGACUCCCAAGCUUAUGCGUUGAGCAAGACCCUAUCCGUUCUCAGUCUGUGCAUGAUACUUCAUAUACAGGAAAUGUUCGAAUGCUCACUCCAUUUUUGUGUCCUUUUCUCAUUUCUCCUGGCUCUGUGUUUGGUUGGAGAUCUACCUGGGAAUGUUAUACCCUCACGGAGGUUCUGGAUGGACAGUCGGUUAACAAACAGGAGAAAGAGCAAAUGAGAGGAAGUUGCACUUUUUCAGGUGUCAGGCUGGAGGAAGCCACUUGAAGAUGAGUCUACCUCUGCCUUAGGAUUGCCUGAUGGCCUGUGCCAUUCCAUGUUAUGUCUACUGAUUUGCUCCCUGUAUUCAACGAUUUUUUUUUUUUUUUUUUUUACUUAAUUCUCUCUUACUGACCCUGAGAGUGACCAUAUUUUUAACCAAUUUGGUCUUCAGCCUCAAAACUUAGCUCUUUCCUUUUGUGGUCCCUGAAUCCUACCACGUGUCAUGGUGGCUGUGAAGAUGUUUGCCAAGCCUGCUGAGAAGGCUCAUCUGUGGCAUCCAAAAGCAGAAAUUUCAACUCUGGACCCCUGUGACCUGCCUUUGGAAUUAUGGAUACCCAGCACUGUUUUGAAAUAUCAGUGGACAUCCAGUUUUUAAAAGCCCUCAGAGCUUUGGGAGACACCCCUUUAUCUCUCUGGCAUGUCAGAGAACCGAUUCAACCCUUCUCAUCUCCUCCUCCUUCCCUCUCUUGGGCCAUCAGGAUGCAGCAGCAACUCACUGUGCAUGUUUUUACAGCUCUUCUCCAGUAAUGCUGCCAUUUCCACUGCAGACCACAGGAUAAACGGACUGCUUCACAGUGGCCCAGGAUACCCUUUUAAGUAGGAGGUAACUAUUCAGUUUCUUAGUGGCCUAUACAUAAACUUGAUUAUGUUCUUCGUUGCUCCAAUAAACUAUUUGUGUGUUUUGUUUUUUCCAGAGGGAGAAGAAAGUACUGUUUUGAUCUAAAAUUAAGCAAACGUUCUUCAAUAAAC
rnacentral:lncRNA from 1 species